rnacentral:rRNA from 1 species
GAGUUUGAUCCUGGCUCAGGAUGAACGCUAGCGGCAGGCUUAACACAUGCAAGUCGAGGGGUAACAGAGUAGCUUGCUACUGCUGACGACCGGCGCACGGGUGCGUAACGCGUAUACAAUCUACCUUAUACUGGGGGAUAGCCUUUAGAAAUGAAGAUUAAUACCCCAUAGUUUAUAGAUAUGGCAUCAUAUUUAUAAUAAAGAUUACGGUGUAAGAUGAGUAUGCGUUCUAUUAGUUAGUUGGUGUGGUAACGGCACACCAAGACCACGAUAGAUAGGGGCCCUGAGAGGGGGAUCCCCCACACUGGUACUGAGACACGGACCAGACUCCUACGGGAGGCAGCAGUGAGGAAUAUUGGACAAUGGAGGCAACCCUGAUCCAGCCAUGCCGCGUGUGUGAAGAAGGCCUUAGGGUUGUAAAGCACUUUCAGUAGGGAGGAAAAGUUAAGUGUUAAUAGCGCUAGGCUGUGACGUUACCUACAGAAGAAGGACCGGCUAACUCCGUGCCAGCAGCCGCGGUAAUACGGAGGGUGCGAGCGUUAAUCGGAAUUACUGGGCGUAAAGCGCGCGUAGGCGGCCUGAUAAGUUGGAUGCAGAAGCCCAGGGCUCAACCUUGGAACUGCAUUCAAAACUGCCAGGCUAGAGUACGGUAGAGGGGGGUAGAAUUCCAUGUGUAGCGGUGAAAUGCGUAGAGAUGUGGAGGAAUACCAGUGGCGAAGGCGGCCCCCUGGAUCGAUACUGACGCUGAGGUGCGAAAGCGUGGGGAGCAAACAGGAUUAGAUACCCUGGUAGUCCACGCCGUAAACGAUGUCAACUAGCCGUUGGAGGGGUAAUCCCUUUAGUGGCGCAGCUAACGCACUAAGUUGACCGCCUGGGGAGUACGGUCGCAAGAUUAAAACUCAAAUGAAUUGACGGGGGCCCGCACAAGCGGUGGAGCAUGUGGUUUAAUUCGACGCAACGCGAAGAACCUUACCUGGUCUUGACAUCCUACGAACUUACUAGAAAUAGUUUGGUGCCUUCGGGAACGUAGUGACAGGUGCUGCAUGGCUGUCGUCAGCUCGUGUCGUGAGAUGUUGGGUUAAGUCCCGUAACGAGCGCAACCCUUGUCAUUAGUUGCUACAUUUAGUUGAGCACUCUAAUGAGACUGCCGGUGACAAACCGGAGGAAGGUGGGGAUGACGUCAAGUCCUCAUGGCCCUUAUGGGUAGGGCUUCACACGUCAUACAAUGGUCGGUACAGAGGGUUGCCAAGCCGCGAGGUGGAGCCAAUCCCAGAAAACCGAUCGUAGUCCGGAUCGUAGUCUGCAACUCGACUACGUGAAGUCGGAAUCGCUAGUAAUCGCGGAUCAGAAUGUCGCGGUGAAUACGUUCCCGGGUCUUGUACACACCGCCCGUCACACCAUGGGAAUUGGGUCUACCCGAAGGUGGUGCGCCAACUAUUUAUAGGGGCAGCCAACCACGGUAGGUUCAGUGACUGGGGUGAAGUCGUAACAAGGUAACC